rnacentral:miRNA from 1 species
AGGAGCGAGGAAGGGGAUGGGA